UACGGAGGGUGCAAGCGUUAAUCGGAAUUACUGGGCGUAAAGCGUGCGCAGGCGGUUUGUUAAGUCUGUUGUGAAAUCCCCGAGCUCAACUUGGGAAUUGCAAUGGAUACUGGCAAGCUGGAGUAUGGUAGAGGAAGGUGGAAUUCCCGGUGUAGCAGUGAAAUGCGUAGAGAUCCGGAAGAACACCGGUGGCGAAGGCGGCCUGCUGGGCAGUAGCUGACGCUGAGGCGCGACAGCGUGGGGAGCAAACAGG
rnacentral:rRNA from 1 species